UACGGAGGAUGCGAGCGUUAUCCGGAUUUAUUGGGUUUAAAGGGUGCGUAGGCGGGCUUUUAAGUCAGCGGUAAAAAUUCGGGGCUCAACCCCGUCCGGCCGUUGAAACUGGGGGCCUUGAGUGCAGGAGAGGAGAGUGGAAUUCCUAGUGUAGCGGUGAAAUGCGUAGAUAUUAGGAGGAACACCAGUUGCGAAGGCGGCUCUCUGGACUGUAACUGACACUGAGGCACGAAAGCGUGGGGAGCAAACAGG
rnacentral:rRNA from 1 species